GGCGAAUGUGGAGAAAAAGAGAGCAAGCCAGGCAGUCAGGCAGAGAAAGAUUUAUUACAGGAAGAGAGAAAGAAACUGACUGGGUUUAGAGAGAAACCAGCGCUCUCCUUUUACAGCCAACCCUUCUUAUACCCUAUUAAUGGGGAAUUGAGCCCUGGAGGAGGGGGGCCUCAGUUUAUCUUUAGCCUGCAGCUGGGGUCUUGUGGUCACAUAGUCGAAGGGGUCUCACGGUCGGGUGGUCACAUAGUCUUGAGAAACUGGCACCAGCAGAGAAAAACAGGAUAUCGCCUUAAAGAAGAAACAGGAUGCCCACCAGGGCCAGGUGGCCGCUGUGACUUCAUCCCUUGUUUGUCGGGUCGCCACAAUGGGCCACAUUUUAACUAUAGCUAUGAGCCCUCGUGAACCCUAACAGUACAGAACCCUCUCAGGAUCUGAACCUCUUUCACCAGGAAGCACCCAGUGGCGCUCAGCUGAGAAGCACAAGGAUACUCAACCUCCCUGGGACUAUCUGGGCCACCGUCGGAACCUCCCCACCCAGGAAGGCCCCGCCCCACGUGCGUCUCUAUGGUUACAGGCCCCGCCCCCCAUCAGAAGGCUGGAUUCCAGGCAGCCUUGGAUCAUUGACUCGGGCUAGAAUUCUCCCUACUGCAAGGGGGGAACCUCAUUGUGGUUGCCACAUGUACCCCUUUUAUUUACACUAUUAUUUUGAGAGUUUAAUGAGAUCAUGGAUAUAUAUAAAAUCUAUAGUGUUAAGAAGUACUCUGUAAAAAGUUACAAGUGGUAUUAGUUCUGAAGUUAUCCUUACUGACCUCUGCUCUUCCUCAAAUUCGCGUAUCUGAGUGUCUGAUAACACACAGCUCCUUUCCUAGCUCAGAAUCCAGGAUGGAGGUCCCUCUCUGACCCUGCUUUGCAAACAAGGGUGAGUGAAAAACCAGAAAGGCCGAGAAAAAGGCGUCCCGUUCUUACGGCCUUCUCGUCAGCGACAGGGUCCACUGUGAAAUGGGCGCCCCCUAUUCCAAAGUGAGACCAGGGCCCAAGGGCCGAGGGUGCCCUCCGCCUAGCGCUAGGGCUUCAAAAACCAGACGAGAAAGAGGAUCCGAGAGAGCAGGAAUUCAC
rnacentral:lncRNA from 1 species